rnacentral:rRNA from 1 species
CCUACGGGAGGCAGCAGUGGGGGAUAUUGCACAAUGGGGGGAACCCUGAUGCAGCGACGACGCGUGGGUGAAGAAGCGCCUCGGCGCGUAAAGCUCUGUCAGCAGGGAAGAAAAUGACGGUACCUGAAGAAGAAGCCGCGGCUAACUACGUGCAAGCAGCCGCGGUAAUACGAAGGGUGCAAGCGUUAUCCGGAUUUACUGGGUGUAAAGGGGGCGCAGGCGGCGUGGCAAGCCAGGAGGGAAAGCCCGGGGCCCAACCCCGGGACUGCUCUUGGAACUGCGUGGCUGGAGUGCAGGAGGGGCAGGCGGAAUUCGUGGUGUAGCGGUGAAAUGCUUAGAUAUCAGGAGGAACACCGGUGGCGAAGGCAGCCUGCUGGACUGCAACUGACGUUGAGGCCCGAAAGCGUGGGGAGCAAACAGGAUUAGAUACCCGAGUAGUC